rnacentral:rRNA from 1 species
CACAGGUGCUGCAUGGCUGUCGUCAGCUCGUGUCGUGAGAUGUUGGGUUAACCCCCGCAACGAGCGCAACCCUUACCUUUAGUUGCUAGCGGGUCAAGCCGGGAACUCUAAAGGAACUGUCGGUGAUAAACCGGAGGAAGGUGGGGAUGACGUCAAGUCCUCAUGGCCCUUAUGUCCAGGGCUACACACGUGCUACAAUGGCCGGUACAAAGAGUCGCAAUCUUGCGAGGUGGAGCUAAUCUCAAAACGCCGGUCUCAGUUCGGAUUGGAGUCUGCAACUCGACUCCAUGAAGUUGGAAUCGCUAGUAAUCGUGGAUCAGCAUGCCACGGUGAAUACGUUCCCGGGCCUUGUACACACCGCCCGUCACACCAUGAAAGCUGAUUGUACCAGAAGUCAAGAUGCCAACCUUCGGGGGGCUACUGCCUAAGGUGUGGUUAGUGAUCGGGGUGAAGUCGUAACAAGGUA